GCCUGGUGGUGUAGCGGUUAACACAUCACUGGUGUUUCAGAAAAGACGCGGGUUCGAAUCCCGCAGGGCU
rnacentral:tRNA from 1 species